UACGUAGGGUGCAAGCGUUGUCCGGAAUUAUUGGGCGUAAAGAGCUCGGUAGGCGGUCCGUCACGUCGGCUGUGAAAACCCGGGCUCAACCCGGGCCUGCAGUCGAUACGGGCGGACUAGAGUUCGGCAGGGGAGACUGGAAUUCCUGGUGUAGCGGUGAAAUGCGUAGAUAUCUGGAGGAACACCGGUGGCGAAGGCGGCAUCCUGGACCGACACUGACGCUGAGGAGCGAAAGCCAGGGAGCAAACGGG
rnacentral:rRNA from 1 species